rnacentral:lncRNA from 1 species
CUUUCUCUCUCAGUAUCUGUCAUCAUCAUCAUUAAUUCAAUCAUCAUCACCAUCAUCCACCACCAUCCCCCUCUCUUCCUUUUCCUCUCUCUCUCUCUCUCUCUCUCUGUUUUUAUUACGAUUCGGAUUUUUCUUUCUUUCCCUCUCUGCAAAACAAACACUGAGAGACAGAGCACAAACAGAUCACCAUCACAUCCGCCGCCGGCACUGACUUCUCCACCCUCU